rnacentral:rRNA from 1 species
UACGUAGGGGGCAAGCGUUGUCCGGAAUCAUUGGGCGUAAAGAGCGCGCAGGCGGUCGUUCAAGUCGCGUGUGAAAGCCCCCGGCUCAACUGAGGAGGGUCACGCGAUACUGAUCGACUCGAAGGCAGGAGAGGGAAGUGGAAUUCCCGGUGUAGUGGUGAAAUGCGUAGAUAUCGGGAGGAACACCAGUGGCGAAGGCGACUUCCUGGCCUGUUCUUGACGCUGAGGCGCGAAAGCUAGGGGAGCAAACGGG